AAUGGAAGCCACAAAAAUCCCAAAAAAAAAUUGGGAAAAAUAGCAAACAAGCCCUCGAGGAAGCUAAACGAACGGAAUACGAAGAGGAAAGAACAGAAAAAUGGCAAGAAGUUUCGAAACUAACCUAGGUUGGCUCGAGGAGUGCAGGAAGAUGGCAAGGAUGAUGGAAGUCGACCUAGAGGAUGCCUAAGGCCGAGAAGGAUGCUAAAGGAAGCUGGAGCUCUCGGGGAAGAGGAGGGGACCGAGGGAUUCUCUCAGGCAAAGUGAAACCCCUGAAGGGGGAGGACGUGUUUAAAUAGACCCCAGAGUCCGACGUAAUAAUGAUUGCGGAUCUUCUCUAGCCGACCUACGC
rnacentral:lncRNA from 1 species